rnacentral:rRNA from 1 species
AGCAGUAGCCACGGUAAUACGAAGGGUGCAAGCGUUAAUCGGAAUUACUGGGCGUAAAGCGUUCGUAGGCGGUUUGUUAAGUCUGUUGUAAAUCCCCGGGCUCAACCUGGGAAUGGCAAUGGAUACUGGCAAGCUAGAGUGUGUCAGAGGAUGGCGGAAUUCCCGGUGUAGCGGUGAAAUGCGUAGAGAUCGGGAGGAACAUCAGUGGCGAAGGCGGCCAUCUGGGACAACACUGACGCUGAGGCACGAAAGCGUGGGGAGCAAACAGGAUUAGAUACCCGCGUAGUCCCUGUCUCUUAUACA